AAUGAACGCUGGCGGCGUGCUUAACACAUGCAAGUCGAACGAUGAAGCCCAGCUUGCUGGGUGGAUUAGUGGCGAACGGGUGAGUAACACGUGAGUAACCUGCCCUUAACUCUGGGAUAAGCCUGGGAAACUGGGUCUAAUACCGGAUAGGAGCGUCCACCGCAUGGUGGGUGUUGGAAAGAUUUAUCGGUUUUGGAUGGACUCGCAGCCUAUCAGCUUGUUGGUGAGGUAAUGGCUCACCAAGGCGACGACGGGUAGCCGGCCUGAGAGGGUGACCGGCCACACUGGGACUGAGACACGGCCCAGACUCCUACGGGAGGCAGCAGUGGGGAAUAUUGCACAAUGGGCGCAAGCCUGAUGCAGCGACGCCGCGUGAGGGAUGACGGCCUUCGGGUUGUAAACCUCUUUCAGUAGGGAAGAAGCGAAAGUGACGGUACCUGCAGAAGAAGCACCGGCUAACUACGUG
rnacentral:rRNA from 1 species